CAGAAAUAAACAUGAGGCUAUUCGGAUGGUUAAAAUUGGAGAAUUUAAUUUUUCGAAAGGUAAAGAAAAUAAUUUUUUUUCAAUUUGGUGAAUCGAGGACUGAGUGCUCAAACGCAGUGGUGCAAAAUUAUGAGAACAGUAAUGUGCAACGAAAGAAAUCGUCUGAUUGUGAACGGAGAGUUACAACGAGCUCCAUGGUGGAGUUAUCAAUGACAAUGGAGGAUAUUGUGCAAUUAAUUGAGCAAGAAUCCGAUGCUGAGCUUCGAACACAGGAACAGGGCAUCCCCGUUUUCAUAAUUUUAUGGAUGAGUAUAGGAGAGAAUUUUGCCUAGAUGUAAUGAAUUUUUUUGAAACACGGGUCAGUGGUAUUUGGGCAGAUAAAAUCAUCGGAAGACUUGGUUUUGCGAAUUCAUUUAGAAUUUAAGCAAGGUUGUUUUCUGGUAGGAUCUGAAUUCUUUGGAGUGACAAUGUUCUCCUUGAUAUACUGGACUUGCAUCUGCAAAUGAUUCUUAUGAGGGUGAGAAAUAGACAAUGAUCCUCUAAAUUUUUGUGUUAAGUAGUAUAUGCUAGCCCAUAACCAGCAACGAGGCAGAAGUUAUGGGAGUAUUUGGAUUCUCUAGCUGAAACCAUUGUGGAACCGUGCAUUCUAGCAGAAGAUUUCAAUUUAAUUCUUGAGCACUCCGAACGGGCAGGUGUAGCAACGAGCGUUAGAAAUGGAUGUCAUGGGUUUCAAAAUUUCCUGUUUGAUAAUGGUAUUUGUGACUUGGGUUUUUGCGGGCCUCGAUUCACUUGGAGUUUUUGGGUUUGAUAAUGGAUGUAAAUCGGUUGAUUGGUUUCCCUCAAUCCGUUGCAAAAUAGAGGUACAAGACUCUUUUGUUGUUUAGCUAGUUGGUUACUUCAUGUGGUAAGGAUUUAUUAGUAGUAACUGGAAUAAUGAAUUGAAUGUGUGUACGAACUUAAAGAAUUUUUAGAAAGAGGUUAAGAAAUGGAACAAGCGUGUUUUGGGGAAUAUUUUUGUUCGUAAGUGGAGGUUGAUUUCGGAACUUGAGCGUGUACAAGGAAUUCUAGAAUUCAGAGACUCGAAAAAACUUCUUGAUCAUGAGUUGGAACUAAGGUUGAAAAUUGAGGACAUUUUAAAACAUGAAGAGCUGUUAUGGUUUUAAAAAUCAAGAGCGAAUGGCUUACGAGUGGUGAUAGAAAUACAAGAUAUUUUCAUAGUUGUACUAUGAUUAGGCAAAAAUAAUAAUAAGGUUGAAGGUCUUAAGAUAGAUGUUGGUGAAUGGUGUUUCGAUGAGGUAGUCCUGUAACAACAUGUGGUGUAUGUUUUUAAGGAGCUUUAUUCCAUAAAUUAUUCAGUCAAUGGAGUUUUUCUUAGCAAGGACAGUUUCCUUUAAUUUCUUCAACAGACAAAGUUAAUCUUGAAGUAGGAAUUGGUGACGAGGAAGUUCGCAAGGCAAUUUUUGCUGUGACCCCAUGGAAAGCACCAGGAUUUGAUGGGUUUCAUGCCAGAUUUUAUUAGGCUCAUGGGACAUACUUGGAGCUUCGGUGUGUAGUAUGGUCAGGCAAGUUUUAGAAGAGCAUCAGUUGAACCUAUGGAUCAACAGAACCUUACUAGUACUCAUUCCAAAAGCUCAGAGCCCGAAAAAAAUUAUGCAGUUUCAGCGAAUAAGCUUGUGCAUGGUGUUGUAUAAGUUUUUCACAAAGGUGAUUGUUAAUCUAUUAAGGCCAUUGAUGGGAUCGCUUGAUAAACAUAAUCAAGCAAGUUUUGUUCUUGGCAAAUGCAUAUCGGAUAACAUUGUAAUUGCGUAAGAGGUUGUUCAUUCUAUGUGGAAUUUCAAAGGUAAGAAGAUGGAAUGGCUUUCAAUACUGAUGUUGAAAAAACCUAUGAUAGGAUUAGAUAGGAUUAUUUGGAUGACACUGUGGUUGAAGCUAGGCUACCGCGUUUGUUGAUCAUGGUGAUUUAAAUUGUGUAUUUUCAUCUUCACUUUAGGUUCUAUGGAAUGGCACAGUUACAGAAUCUUUUCAACCAUCUUGUGGUAUAAGACAAAGGGAUUCAUUCCUGCCUUCUUGUUUGUGCUAUGUAUGGAAUGUUUGAGACAUUUUAUUGAGGAAGUUGUCAAACAGAAAAGUUGGAAACCUUUGUUACUGUCAAGAAAGGGACCAACCAUAUCUCAUUUUUCUUUGCUGAUGACCUGUUUAUCUUCUGUGAGGUGGACACAAAAUAAUCGAGUAUGAUUAAUAGCAUUUUGAGUUCUUUCUGUCAUUUUUCAAGACAAAAGGUGAAUCGGAGUAAAUCACAAGUCUACUUUUUGCCUAAUACACUGGAUGAUUUAGUUAGAGGAAUUUGUAGUGAAGUGGGCUUCGUACGUGUGGAGGAUCUUGGUUUGUAUCUUUGCAUGCCUCUCUUCCAUAAAAGAGUGUCAGUGAACACUUCUGAAUUUGUAGUCUCCAAAGCUCGAAAUAAACUCAAUGGACGGGACACCAAAAAAUUGUCAACGCUGGGCAGAAUAACAUUGGUAAAAUCUAUGCUCUUAGCUAUCCCUAACUAUUUCAUGUGCACGAUACGUAUACCUAUAUCGGUGUGUAGGGAGGUUGAAAAAAUAGCUCGUAAUUUCAUUUGGGGCUCUACUUUGGAGUCGAGAAAACCAACUUUAUUAUCUUGGGAGAUCUGUUAUCGACCGACUGAUAAUGGAAGACUUGGGUUGAGGAACUUAGCUGACCAAAAUAAAAUCUUUCUACUCAAAUUGGGAUUUCAAGUACUCACUAAUACGGAGGCAUUAUGGGCUCGAGUUUUGAGUAAUAAGUAUAAUGUUUAGGGAGUGAUGCCAACCUCUAUCAAUAGAAGUGUUCUUUUAUUUGGAAGUCCUUGAUGCAAGUUUGGCAUGAGGUUAUUGAUAAUGUCUUUUGGGAGUUACAUCUGACGAAUUUUUGGAAUGAUGUUUGGCUUAGCCAUGCCGGCCCUCUUUAAUCCUUUCAUAAGGAUAUGGUACAACUUGAUGAUACUUUACAUGUAUGUGAUGUAACGGAUGGUAAUGGUGCUUGGGAUUUGACAAUAUUAAGGUCUUUAUUUCCAGAUAACAUUGUUACAUAGAUAAUAGGUAUGAUACCAUCGAUUGCAGAUGCAAGACCAGAUCAUCUAGCCUGGAAAUGGAUGGCUGCAGGUUGAUUUUCCACUACCAAAACGUUUAGGCGCAUUUAUCCUAGUGUUAAUGAGGGAAAUUCUAAUACUUGAAGGCUGAUUUGGAAGGCCAAGCCCCCCAAAGAGUUUGGUUGUUCCUCUGGUUGUUAUAGAGUAAUAGAUUAUUGACAAAUGGAGAAUGGGUUAGGCGAAACAUGUCUAAUGAAAGUCAUUGCCUAAGGUGUGGUCAUGCUGUGGAAUCCAGGAUUCAUUCAAUUUGAGAUUGUCUUUUCUCAAAGUCGGUGUAGGCAUCUUCUGUGCCGAAGUUAGCUCAUAAUGUUUUCUUUUCAAUGCAGACUAGUGACUGGUUCCUAUGGAAUAUGCAGAAUAAAGGGAAUUAUGGAAACAAUGAUGUCGAAUGGCAAACUAUUUUUCCCAUAAUGUGCUGGUUGUUUUGGAAAAGUCGAAAUAAUUUUUUUCUUCUAAUAGUCACAAUUUUAUACAUGAGAUUGUGGAUAGAGGUGUUGCAUGGGCGAGGAGUUACAUAGGAUCGAACACCAGUAUAUUACGUUCUAUUCUAAUGGUAAUGGGCAAUUGUUAGUCUACAUGUGAUAGUGGUUGAGUUAAGCUUAAUAUAGACGGGGCAAGUUCGUUUAAUGUUGCUAAUGCUUCUAUUGGAGGAGUUUUUAGGGACUUGAAUACAAAUUGGUUAUGUGGUUUUUCAAUGAUGAUUGGCAAGGAUUUCAUGUUUUGAGUUUAAGCAAGAGCGAUUUUAGAAGGGCUAUGCAAGCUUAGGAGAGGAAGUUUAGACAAAUAGAUGUGGAAUAUGAUAAUGCACUCAUUGUAGAAACUCUUUUAUCUAGUGGCACCAUUAAUAGUAACUUGAUGGAAUUGCAUCUAAUUCAUAAUUACUAACUCGGAAUUGGAAAGUUCAAUUUCGUCAUAUUUUUAGAUCACUAAAUGAAGCUGCAGACCACAUGGCAAAAUAUGCUCCUAUUGGAGUCUUAGGAUUACUAUACUACGAAGAGCCUCCAAGUUCAUGAGCAAGGAAUAUCCGCCUUUCUGCUAAACAGAAUGUAUUGAACUCAUAAUUCAUUAGAUACUUUUUAUGAAUGUCAACUAAGUAUCGUAAGUAAAUUGGUCCCGGUUGUUCAAUCA